rnacentral:rRNA from 1 species
AGAGUUUGAUCAUGGCUCAGGACGAACGCUGGCGGCGUGCUUAACACAUGCAAGUGGAGCGACGAACCAGGGCUUGCCCUGGGGCAGAGCCGCGAACGGGUGAGUAACACGUGGGUAACCUACCCCGAUGACCGGGACAACCCGAGGAAACUCGGGCUAAUACCGGAUGUUCUCGUUUCUCGUAAGUGAAUCGAGUAAAGAUAGCUUCGGCCUUCGCAUCGGGACGGGCCCGCGGCCCAUUAGCUUGUUGGUGGGGUAACGGCCUACCAAGGCGACGAUGGGUAGCUGGUCUGAGAGGACGAUCAGCCACACUGGGACUGAGACACGGCCCAGACUCCUACGGGAGGCAGCAGUGGGGAAUCUUGCGCAAUGCGCGAAAGCGUGACGCAGCAACGCCGCGUGGGGGAAGAAGGCCUUCGGGUUGUAAACCCCUUUCAGUUGGGACGAAGCUUCGUCGGUUAAUAGCCGGCUGGAGUGACGGUACCUUCAGAAGAAGCCCCGCUAACUACGUGCCAGCAGCCGCGGUA